UCCAGACUCCUACGGGAGGCAGCAGUGGGGAAUAUUGCACAAUGGGGGAAACCCUGAUGCAGCAACGCCGCGUGAGUGAAGAAGGUUUUCGGAUUGUAAAGCUCUGUUAGCAGGGAAGAGGAAGGACGGUACCUGCAGAGGAAGCCACGGCUAACUACGUGCCAGCAGCCGCGGUAAUACGUAGGGGGCAAGCGUUAUCCGGAUUUACUGGGUGUAAAGGGAGCGUAGACGGCAGCGCAAGUCUGAAGUGAAAUGCCGGGGCUUAACCCCGGGACUGCUUUGGAAACUGUGUUGCUGGAGUGCUGGAGAGGCAAGCGGAAUUCCUAGUGUAGCGGUGAAAUGCGUAGAUAUUAGGAAGAACACCAGUGGCGAAGGCGGCUUGCUGGACAGUAACUGACGUUGAGGCUCGAAAGCGUGGGGAGCAAACAGGAUUAGAUACCCCCGUA
rnacentral:rRNA from 1 species